CCUACGGGAGGCAGCAGUGGGGAAUAUUGCACAAUGGGGGAAACCCUGAUGCAGCGACGCCGCGUGAGUGAGGAAGUAUCUCGGUAUGUAAAGCUCUAUCAGCAGGGAAGAAAAUGACGGUACCCGACUAAGAAGCCCCGGCUAACUACGUGCCAGCAACAGCGGCAAUACGUAGGCGGCAAGCGUUAUCCGGAUUUACUGGGUGUAAAGGGAGCGUAGACGGCUAAACAAGUCAGAAGUGAAAACCCAGGGCUCAACCUUGGGACUGCUUUUGAUACUGAGUAGCGAGAGAGCAGGAGAGGUAAGCGGAAUUGCUAGUGUAGCGGUGGAAUGCGUAGAUAUUAGAAGGAACACCAGUGGCGAAGGCGGCUUACUGGACU
rnacentral:rRNA from 1 species